rnacentral:rRNA from 1 species
GUUAUAUAGUCAAGCGACUAAGCGCAUACGGUGGAUGCCUUGGCAGUCAGAGGCGAUGAAGGACGUAGAAACCUGCGAUAAGCGUUGGUAAGCUGGUAAACGAGCUUUGACCCAACGAUUUCCGAAUGGGGAAACCCAUCCGUCAUAAGGCGGAUAUCCUGCACUGAAUUCAUAGGUGUAGGAAGCGAACCCGGAGAACUGAAACAUCUAAGUACCCGGAGGAAAAGAAAUCAACCGAGAUUCCCCUAGUAGCGGCGAGCGAACGGGGAUCAGCCGAUGGUUGUUGUGUUAGUGGAAUGCUC